rnacentral:ncRNA from 1 species
GGUUUGGUCCUAGCCUUACUAUUAAUUACAGCUACAUUUACACAUGCAAGUCUCAGCAUACCCGUGAAAAUGCCCUCUGCAACUUCUAAGUGAUUGAGGAGCUGAUAUCAGGUGCACUACGCCAAAGACAUCUUGUAAAACCACACCCCCAAGGGUAUUCAGCAGUGGUAAACAUUGGAAAAUAAGCGACACAAGCUUGAACCAGUGAUAGCUAAAAGAGUUGGUAAAUCUCGUGCCAGCCACCGCGGUUAUACGAGAAACUCAAGUUAAUAAAUUACGGCUCAAAGGGUGGUUAAAGAACUAUAACCAUAACUAAUAGAAUUAAAAACUAACUCUGCUGUCGUACGCAAUAGAUAGGUAGAAACCCAAUAUCGAAAGAAAUUCUAACAAAAUUAACUUGAACCCACUAUAGCUAUGAAACAAACUGGGAUUAGAUACCCCACUAUGCCUAGCCAUAAACUUUGAUGAAUCCGCCAGAAUACUACGAGCAACAGCUUAAAACUCAAAGGACUUGGCGGUGCUUUAAACCCACCUAGAGGAGCCUGUUCUGUAAUCGAUAAUCCCCGAUAAACCUCACCAUCAAUUGCUAAUUCAGCCUAUAUACCACCGUCCAGCCCACCCUCUAAAGGAUAAACAGUAGGCACAACUGCAAUCGCAAAAACGUCAGGUCAAGGUGUAGCUUAUAAGAUGGGAAGAAAUGGGCUACAUUUUCUACCCUAGAAAACACGAAAGAUUUUAUGAAAUUAACUUCUGAAGGAGGAUUUAGUAGUAAAAAAGGAUAAGAGUGCCUUUUUUAACAUGGCAAUAAAGCGCGUACACACCGCCCGUCACCCUCUUCGCCACA